CGAGUUUGAUCAUGGCUCAGAUUGAACGCUGGCGGCAUGCCUUACACAUGCAAGUCGAACGGUAGAGUAGCAAUACUCGAGAGUGGCGAACGGGUGAGUAACAUAUCGGAACGUGCCCAGUCGUGGGGGAUAACGUAGCGAAAGUUACGCUAAUACCGCAUACGAUCUAAGGAUGAAANCGGGGGAUCGCAAGACCUCGCGCGAUUGGAGCGGCCGAUAUCAGAUUAGGUAGUUGGUGGGGUAAAGGCUCACCAAGCCAACGAUCUGUAGCUGGUCUGAGAGGACGACCAGCCACACUGGAACUGAGACACGGUCCAGACUCCUACGGGAGGCAGCAGUGGGGAAUUUUGGACAAUGGACGCAAGUCUGAUCCAGCCAUUCCGCGUGCAGGAUGAAGGCCCUCGGGUUGUAAACUGCUUUUGUACGGAACGAAAAGGUUUCUCUUAAUACGAGGAGCUCAUGACGGUACCGUAAGAAUAAGCACCGGCUAACUACGUG
rnacentral:rRNA from 1 species